UGCGCAGGCGGGCUUGUAAGUCAGUGGUGAAAUACUGCCGCUUAACGGUAGAACUGCCAUUGAUACUGCAAGUCUUGAAUAUGGUUGAGGUAGGCGGAAUGUGUCGUGUAGCGGUGAAAUGCAUAGAUAUGACACAGAACGCCAAUUGCGAAGGCAGCUUACUAAGCCAUUAUUGACGCUGAGGCACGAAAGCGUGGGGAGCGAACAGGAUUAGCUACCCUGGUAGUCC
rnacentral:rRNA from 1 species